rnacentral:antisense_RNA from 1 species
CAUGGCGGCAGUCACUGCCGUCACUUAGUCGCCGAUCAAGCCUUGGACUAAGGGCCCACGGUCCCUCGAGUAGGACUUGGAUCGGAUGCUGAAUAAAACUCACCGUGAAGCAAGUCCCACUGAACGAAAAGUUGGUCGUAGCAUUUCUCAGCAGCUGCUUCCGGCUCCCUGAGACCCAGCCAUGGAAGGCAUAGAAAGGCAUGUGACAAGAAACUCAUGGCUUUUAAUCCUGGCAGGACAAGGAAAACCCCGUCAAAGAUUUGCAUAAAUUUUGCUGCUCUCCUGCUGGGGCAG